CGUCUGUGUGAUUCAUACAGCACAGGCUAUGCAUUCCGUGUGCAUUUUCUAUGACUGUACCCGUAAUGUACAUAGCUUGAGCUGUGUGACUUCUCCUAUUCAUUCUU
rnacentral:pre_miRNA from 1 species